GAGGGAGUAACUUUGUCGUCUGUGUUACGUAAGGUGAGAAUUGUGCGUCAGUGGGUGCUCUUCCGGUGAAGUGAUUGUAUGGAUCGUUGUCUUGAAGGUAAUCCUCAGACAUCGGCGAGUCGGUGCGACAAAGGCUCGGCGGUGACCACUAGUACAAAAAUUGUCUUUAAAUUAACGAUUUUAUUUUUAGAUUCUAAUUUUUCUUGAGAGUUUGU